rnacentral:sRNA from 1 species
ACUAAACACAUCAAAUCUCAAACCACUCAUUGAAUUAUUGCCUAUUUUUUGCUUCCACCUGCAUUAUUGCCUCCUGCUUCCUGUGCUGCUUUCUUUGCCG